GAUCAACUUGUUGUGGCCUUAUGUUACAUAUAUUUAUAGAACCAUGCUGCGUCUUACACUGUUUUUUGCUACUGAUGUUGUUGAAUAUUUAAAUAGUUUACCCCUGUUUUCCUAAAGUUCCGCCUACAAACUAUGAAGUUGCCAGCUACGUCAACCACUCGCCAUAUUUCUAUUUGGCUUUGCUAGUGAUACGCAUAUCCAUACAGAUUCUUGUGGAAAAGAUUUGGCAGAGAGAACAAAGAUUCACAAUUUGUGCAGCCUUUGUAAUUGAGGUCCUCUUUCUAGCCAUGUACAACGCGUUAGGAAUCAACUUUUGCAAUUUUCUAAGGACUUGUCCAUUUUAUUGCAUGCGGCUAUUGCAAGGUGUGUGGCAUCUCUACGUUGAAAGGUUUACAAUGAUACUGUAACACAAGUUACAACAUGGUAAAAUGGAACAUUGAAUGAGUGUUGGUUGUAUUUUGUGUUGACGCCCCCUUACGUCAGAAUAACCUGAACUUCCAACAAUUAUUUCAAAACAGUGACCUUGACAUCCUUUUGAAUUUGUCUAUUUUUGUGAAGAAGAAAAGUGGUGAGUUGAUUCCACCUUUAUUGGCAUCAUCUGUAAACCUGUUAUUGGUGUCGUUUUUAUAGCAAUCUCAUCUAUUAAUGUGCUUGUUUUUUAUAUUUUAUAUGAUUUUUUUCAUGAUUCAAGUUGACUCUGAUAUGUUUCCGAGUGAUAUUGUUUGAAGUGUAUUAUAUUUCUAAUGUAUCCAUUUUACUUUUUGUAUUUUUUAAUGAACAAUGAUGUCAUGAAACGUAUUGUAAUACUCAUGUUUUGUAUUGUUUUGUACUUUUUUAUAUCAAAAUUGAUGCCAUGAACGUAUUGUAAUACUCAUGUUACUUUCUUUUUUAUAUUGUUUUAUACCUUUUUAUUAAAAAAGAUGUCCAUAUCAGUCCAGUUCUUUAAUAAAACUGAAACUAUACUGAUCUUUAUAUAAGUUAGAUGUGCUUGACAAUGCCAUCUUCAUUCAAACGUUGAACAUGUAAAUAGAAAAAAAUGAAUAAAAACAAAUAAUACUAAAUAAAUAAAUAAAUAAAUAAAUAAAAUAAAUAAAUCAACAACGGCUACUGUGGUGAUUGAGGCAUACCUUUGAAUAAAAUAUAAUUUUGCAUAAUGUAAAUAUAAAUACUACCAUUUUCUUUCUAAACAAUUAAACAAUACAUGAUGAACUCUAUAUACACUAGGUACAGAUUACGCAAAAAGUCGCGUUUUUAUCACAUUUUCGUUCAUUACAUAAUCGUUUUGUCACACUCUGUACCAGUCUUCAUAUUUAAUUUACAUUUAGUAUUGUAAAUACAAACUAUUUUUAGGGUAAGAUAUGCAGCAACAUUGUUUAUUUUUCUAUAACAUUCCUGGAAAAUGGCAAAGCCUGUCAUUUUUUUACCUACUAAUCCAAGUUUAUAAUAAGUAUAUAUCAAAUCCUUCCAUGUUCCAGGUAUUGUAUAUAUGUUGUCAACUGUAUUUUUUCAUAAGAUAAUAGUUAUUAAACUAAACUUUGUUGAAAUUGAGUUGAAUAACACAGUUUUAUGAACACACACAGCCAGCCUGCUGUUACACGUUUGAACAGAAUUUUGUUAACUCAAGCCUAAAAUAAUUCAAUGUUCACUAGCAUCACUAACGCUUUUCGGAAAAACAUAGCAUUUGUCACAUUAAAAAAAAUCAUUGAUAACUGAGUUCUUUUUUGAAAUAAAAAGUGAUUGCAUUUUAUCGUAAUGAUUAUAAAAAGCGUUUUGUUCACAGUUAAUACGAUUUUGUUUCGCGAUCAGACAAUAAAACGUAUAGAUAACAAUCUUAACAUUCUUUACACUUUUAUACUGUCCUGUUGCUUAUUAGGUAAUGUACUUUGCAAAUGAGUAUUGGUGACAUGUAUCUAUAUUGAAUAAUUUGUCGAACUAGUAGUUCAAGUCAGUCUGUAGCUGGCAAUAAAUAAUGAUAUAUAUAUAUGGUUCUACGAUCAUCAGAAGAUUGAUAUCUAUUAUAGUUUUAUUGUUACAAGUUUUAUUACUAUGCUUAUUUUAAUUCUAUUACCAUUAAAUAUGUUCAAGGUUUUCGUACCAUUCCCAUUGAUGACGUACAAGAUAACAAGUAUGAAUCUAUAUAAUGCCCCCAAUACUACACUGUUUGUUUUUCAAAUUUGAAAGAUUAACCCUCAGUUCAAACAAUGUGAAAGUACCAAUCAUUCUUUUUAAUAAAUUAAUAAAAUUUAAUCUGAUAGAUACUGGUAAAGAAUUGGAGCAUGUUCAAAUGUAUUGGUCCACAGAGCCUUUGUUAUGUGUGCUUUUAACAUUUGUAUUAAGCUUUUUGUAUUACAACUUUCAUUUUUGAUUUGAUGAGUUUUUUUACAUUUCACAUGUAUUGAGAUCUGUCAUGUCAUAUAUUGCAUGGACCAGUAUUUGAAGUAAAAUUUAUCGUUUCCUUUCUUUUCUUGCUCAAGAUUUUCCGAAAUAUCAUCUCUGCCUUUACAUGACUUGUGGCUAAAUAUAAUUGGGAUUUUCGACUUUCGAGUCUCGAUAAUUUGUUUUUCUACACCAUACUAAUCCGUUAAAAUAGUUAUGAUUCUGUCGGUAGAUAGAAAACUUAAAGCUAAUAAGUGGAAUUCCGUUGUAAUUUUGAAACAUUUUACAAUUGCAUUAACAUUUAUCUAAUUGCAUAAAUAAAAGUCUGCAACGGCGUAGCUAGGCCUAAAUAAACUUGUAGGCCCGAUGGUUCUCUGUGAGUUUGGGAAUUUUUAUAUGUGCAUUAAACACACUUAAUCAUAUUUGCAAUGAUAAGAAUAAAAUCAGCAAUACACCAUGCACGUAAUUUAAAAACACACACACCAAACUUUGGUUAAAAUAAAACAAACUGUUGAGUUUUUCAAUGUGUUUAAGUAGUUAGUAGUGUUUAUUGCAUUUUGGGUUAUUUAAAAUUCGUCUUUUUUCAAAAAAGCUGAAGGCCUGUAUGUAGCUACGCCACUGGACUGGGUUUGCAUGAAGCCGUAACGUUUUGUGUUUUAUAGUAUAUGUUUGACACGUUUGUGAAUUAUGAAAGAUUUGCAUUAUGUUGCAUUUGGUUCAACAUUUUAUAUUUGUAUUUAUCCUUAUGGAAGAUAAUUAUGUUUCAUUUCAACCUGUUUUUAUUAUAUUCAUUAAUAUGCUAUGCUUG